rnacentral:rRNA from 1 species
UCGAACGAUGAACCACUUCGGUGGGGAUUAGUGGCGAACGGGUGAGUAACACGUGGGCAAUCUGCCCUGCACUCUGGGACAAGCCCUGGAAACGGGGUCUAAUACCGGAUACGAGCCUCCUCCGCAUGGUGGGGGUUGGAAAGCUCCGGCGGUGCAGGAUGAGCCCGCGGCCUAUCAGCUUGUUGGUGAGGUAACGGCUCACCAAGGCGACGACGGGUAGCCGGCCUGAGAGGGCGACCGGCCACACUGGGACUGAGACACGGCCCAGACUCCUACGGGAGGCAGCAGUGGGGAAUAUUGCACAAUGGGCGAAAGCCUGAUGCAGCGACGCCGCGUGAGGGAUGAAGGCCUUCGGGUUGUAAACCUCUUUCAGCAGGGAAGAAGCGAAAGUGACGGUACCUGCAGAAGAAGCGCCGGCUAACUACGUGCCAGCAGCCCGGGUAAUUC